GUGCUCUCUGCAGCAAGGACGAUCCGGUUUCAAAACUCGUUUGCCGUCACCGGGAGCGCCGGCUGUGAUAGCAUAGCCGGCAGCAGGAGAAGGAGGAGGUGACCGGGCGGGGAGAGGAGCUGAUGGGGACGGGAUCUCUCCUGUAGCCCUCGAAGUGUCCGGUGGGGACCCGAACACGCUCCUGCCUCUGCCGCAAAGCGGGGCUCCCUGCGAGGAGCUCCCAGCCCGCGUGUGCCAGGCCCUGGUGCAUGAGUGACCCGCGGGCAGGGUCGGCUUUUGGGAGCGGCCACGCGGCUCCGGCCGUGCUGCGGGGCUGAUCCCUGGCACCGCCGGCCGCUUCGGCCAGCCUCUAGUUUUUGCCGAGCCGUGCCCAGAAGAGGACACAGUGCUGCACUGCCAGAAUCCCGACUGCGCCGGAGAGAGGAGGGCGGCCGAGGUGGGUCCUGCGGGGUGGGGGCAGCUGCUGCCCGGGGUCUUGGGGGUGAGAAGGGGCAGCGGACAGCUCUGCCCAGCCUGCCGCUCCCUGAAGGGCCCCUGCCCUGGUCGGCAGCCCUGGCCUGCCGUGCAUUCCCUGCUGCUGUCAGGGUUCUGCUGGCAUUUAACGGCACAGCGGCGGUUUACGCGUUUCCCCGAGCUGCCGUGAUUUGGGCU
rnacentral:lncRNA from 14 species